UACAGAGGCCUCGAGCGUUAGGCGGAAUCACUGGGCUUAAAGCGUGUGUAGGCGGAAUGGUAAGUACCUUGUGAAAUCCCACGGCUCAACCGUGGAACUGCUGGGUAUACUGCUUUUCUUGAGCCACUUAGGGGCUGUCGGAACAAACGGUGGAGCGGUGAAAUGCGUAGAUAUCGUUUGGAACGCCAACGGUGAAAACAGACAGCUGGGAGUGUGCUGACGCUGAGACACGAAGCCAGGGGAGCGGAACGGG
rnacentral:rRNA from 1 species